UACGUAGGGGGCGAGCGUUGUCCGGAUUCAUUGGGCGUAAAGAGCUCGUAGGCGGCUUGGUUAGUUGGGUGUGAAACCUCCAGGCUUAACCUGGAGACGCCACUCAAUACUGCCAUGGCUAGAGUCCGGUAGGGGACCACGGAAUUCCUGGUGUAGCGGUGAAAUGCGCAGAUAUCAGGAGGAACCCCGGUGGCGAAGGCGGUGGUCUGGGCCGGCACUGACGCUGAGGAGCGAAAGCGUGGGGAGCGAACAGG
rnacentral:rRNA from 1 species